UCCCAAGGAUCUCACAACAGUCG
rnacentral:snRNA from 1 species